GUAGAUAUAGUUUAGUACAAAAUAUUAGACUGUGGCUCUGAAGACAGGGGUUAAAAUCCCCUUAUUUACC
rnacentral:tRNA from 1 species